AAGGCAGAGGGUGGAGGGGCAGGGAGGACAAUCUACAGCAAGUGACAUCUCAAGUGGCCUGAACGAUGGCAGGAGCCAGCUAAAUCAAGGGACACUAAAAGGAGAAAGUGUCACACCUUCAAGAAACUAAAAACCACUCAGUGAAAGGGAAGGAUGAGCUGUGUGAGGUCGGAGCGGCAAGGCAAGCAGAGGCUGGAUCCAACUGGCUUGGGCUUAGAGGAAAGUUCCCAGACCUACUGAUUGGAAUCCAAGUCCCUUCUGUGCUGCUGUAACAGAAUACCUGAGACAGGGUAAUUUAUGAUGAAUAGAAAUUUGUUUCUCGGAGUUCUAGAGCCUGGAAAGUCCAAG
rnacentral:lncRNA from 1 species